AGAGUUUGAUCCUGGCUCAGAUUGAACGCUGGCGGCAUGCCUUACACAUGCAAGUCGAACGGCAGCACGGGGGCAACCCUGGUGGCGAGUGGCGAACGGGUGAGUAAUACAUCGGAACGUGUCCUGUAGUGGGGGAUAGCCCGGCGAAAGCCGGAUUAAUACCGCAUACGAUCUACGGAAGAAAGCGGGGGACCGAAAGGCCUCGCGCUAUAGGGGCGGCCGAUGGCAGAUUAGCUAGUUGGUGGGGUAAAGGCCUACCAAGGCGACGAUCUGUAGCUGGUCUGAGAGGACGACCAGCCACACUGGGACUGAGACACGGCCCAGACUCCUACGGGAGGCAGCAGUGGGGAAUUUUGGACAAUGGGGGAAACCCUGAUCCAGCAAUGCCGCGUGUGUGAAGAAGGCCUUCGGGUUGUAAAGCACUUUUGUCCGGAAAG
rnacentral:rRNA from 1 species